GACGAACGCUGGCGGCGUGCCUAAUACAUGCAAGUCGAACGCUUCUUUCCUCCCGAGUGCUUGCACUCAAUUGGAAAGAGGAGUGGCGGACGGGUGAGUAACACGUGGGUAACCUACCCAUCAGAGGGGGAUAACACUUGGAAACAGGUGCUAAUACCGCAUAACAGUUUAUGCCGCAUGGCAUAAGAGUGAAAGGCGCUUUCGGGUGUCGUUGAUGGAUGGACCCGCGGUGCAUUAGCUAGUUGGUGAGGUAACGGCUCACCAAGGCCACGAUGCAUAGCCGACCUGAGAGGGUGAUCGGCCACACUGGGACUGAGACGCGGCCCAGACUCCUACGGGAGGCAGCAGUAGGGAAUCUUCGGCAAUGGACGAAAGUCUGACCGAGCAACGCCGCGUGAGUGAAGAAGGUUUUCGGAUCGUAAAACUCUGUUGUUAGAGAAGAACAAGGACGUUAGUAACUGAACGUCCCCUGACGGUAUCUAACCAGAAAGCCACGGCUAACUACGUG
rnacentral:rRNA from 1 species